GGAAUAUUGGGCAAUGGGCGCAAGCCUGACCCAGCGACGCCGCGUGAGGGAUGAAGGCCUUCGGGUUGUAAACCUCUUUCAGUAGGGAAGAAGCGAAAGUGACGGUACCUAAAGAAGAAGCACCGGCUAACUAUGUGCCAGCAGCCGCGGUAAUACAUAGGGUGCAAGCGUUGUCCGGAAUUAUUGGGCGUAAAGAGCUCGUAGGUCGUUUGCCGCGUCGAUUGUGAAAAUCUGAGGCUCAACCUCAGACCUGCAGUCGAUACGGGCAAACUAGAGUGUGGUAGGGGAGACUGGAAUUCCUGGUGUAGCGGUGGAAUGCGCAGAUAUCAGGAGGAACACCAAUGGCGAAGGCAGGUCUCUGGGCCAUAACUGACACUGAGGAGCGAAAGCGCGGGGAGCGAACAGGAUUAGAUACCCUGGUAGUCCGCGCCGUAAACGAUGGGCACUAGCUGUGAGAGCCUUCCACGGUUCUCGCGACGCAGCAAACGCAUUAAGUGCCCCGCCUGGGGAGUACGAUCGCAAGAUUAAAACUCAAAGGAAUUGACGGA
rnacentral:rRNA from 1 species